rnacentral:rRNA from 1 species
AUGCGCCUACGGGAGGCAGCAGUGGGGAAUAUUGCACAAUGGGGGAAACCCUGAUGCAGCAACGCCGCGUGAGUGAAGAAGCGCCUCGGCGCGUAAAACCCUGUCAGCAGGGAAGAAAAUGACGGUACCUGAAGAAGAAGCCCCGGCUAACUACGUGCCAGCAGCCGCGGUAAUACGUAGGGGGCAAGCGUUAUCCGGAUUUACUGGGUGUAAAGGGGGCGCAGACGGCGAUGCAAGCCAGGAGUGAAAG